UGCAGACAGAGACACGAUCAGACUCACAAGCCCGGAAGAAGCCCGCCAAACCCCCGGCCAGGAUGCUCCGCCCUACAAGACAGCGAGUACGUAGGAGACGCACUAUUUUCAGCACUGUUUCAGGGGGUGACUGAAGACAGAACGAGAAAUGCACACAGGGAUGGAUGGCCAGAGCAUGUACAAAAGAGGGCCUGGGAGAGAAGGCGGCCGUUUCUCUGGUUCCUGCUCACACGUCAUCAGAGACCUGGCAUGGAUGCACAGCUUGUCAUUUCUUCUAGAUUAUUCAUAUUAAUUACAUCUUUGGAAAACAAAAACGCCUGGAGCCUGUUUUCUUAACCUUCAGCAGAACGAAUGCUACUGAUUUGUAAUUAACAACAUGUUUUCAAACUUCAUAGAAAACGAAUUCAGGAAGCUUUCAUUUCAGUUGUGUCUCUGUGCCUUACACGAAGCAGCAACUGAGAACAGGGUCUUUUAACAUUACUCAAUACCCCAGAAUAAUCUUCAGAGAUGGAUUUCAUCAUAAGUGUGGUUGCAUUAAAAACACGGAUAAAUGUGUCUGAUUUCCUUUUCAGCUAUUGAGUG
rnacentral:lncRNA from 1 species